rnacentral:rRNA from 1 species
AGCGAACGCUGGCGGCAGGCCUAACACAUGCAAGUCGAGCGCCCCGCAAGGGGAGCGGCAGACGGGAGAGUAACACGUGGGAACGUACCCUUCAGUUCGGAACAACCCAGGGAAACUUGGGCUAAUACCGGAUACGUCCGUAAGGAGAAAGAUUUAUCGCUGAAGGAUCGGCCCGCGUCUGAUUAGCUAGUUGGUGGGGUAAUGGCCCACCAAGGCGACGAUCAGUAGCUGGUCUGAGAGGAUGAUCAGCCUCACUGGGACUGAGACACGGCCCAGACUCCUACGGGAGGCAGCAGUGGGGAAUAUUGGACAAUGGGCGCAAGCCUGAUCCAGCCAUGCCGCGUGGAUGAUGAAGGCCCUAGGGUUGUAAAGUCCUUUUCGGCGGGGAAGAUAAUGACGGUACCCGCAGAAGAAGCCCCGGCUAACUUCGUGCCAGCAGCCGCGGUAAUACGAAGGGGGCUAGCGUUGCUCGGAAUUACUGGGCGUAAAGCGCACGUAGGCGGAUUUCGU